rnacentral:rRNA from 1 species
GGGAAAGCAGGGGAUCUUCGGACCUUGCGCUGAUGGAUGAGCCCGCGUCGGAUUAGCUUGUUGGUGGGGUAAUGGCCCACCAAGGCGACGAUCCGUAACUGGUCUGAGAGGAUGGCCAGUCACACCGGGACUGAGACACGGCCCGGACUCCUACGGGAGGCAGCAGUGGGGAAUCUUGGACAAUGGGCGCAAGCCUGAUCCAGCCAUGCCGCGUGUGUGAAGAAGGCCUUCGGGUUGUAAAGCACUUUCAGUAGGGAGGAAGGCUUUGGGGCUAAUACCCUGGAGUACUUGACGUUACCUACAGAAGAAGCACCGGCUAAUUUCGUGCCANCAGCCGCGGUAAUACGAAAGGUGCGAGCGUUAAUCGGAAUUACUGGGGCGUAAAGCGCGCGUANGCGGUGUGUUAAGUCGGAUGUGAAAACCCAGGGCUCAACCUUGGAAUUGCAUCNGAUACUGGC